UCCAAGUGAAGCAGAGGACAGUGGCGGACUGGUGAGUAACGCGUGAGGAACCUGCCUUUCAGAGGGGGACAACAGUUGGAAACGACUGCUAAUACCGCAUGAUGCAUUUGAUCGCAUGGUCGGAAUGCCAAAGAUUUAUCGCUGAAAGAUGGCCUCGCGUCUGAUUAGAUAGUUGGCGGGUAACGGCCCACCAAGUCGACGAUCAGUAGCCGGACUGAGAGGUUGACCGGCCACAUUGGGACUGAGAUACGGCCCAGACUCC
rnacentral:rRNA from 1 species